rnacentral:rRNA from 1 species
AUUGAACGCUGGCGGCAGGCCUAACACAUGCAAGUCGAGCGAGCGGCGGCCGGGUGAGUAACGUCUGGGAAACCGCCUGAUGGAGGGGGAUAACUACUGGAAACGGUAGCUAAUACCGCAUAUUAUCUGCUCUGCCCAGAUGGGAUUAGCUAGUAGGUGGGGUAACGGCUCACCUAGGCGACGAUCCCUAGCUGGUCUGAGAGGAUGACCAGCCACACUGGAACUGAGACACGGUCCAGACUGCUACGAGAGGCAGCAGUGGGGAAUAUGGCACAAUUGGCGCAAGCCUGAUGCAGCCAUGCCGCGUGUGUGAAGAAGGCCUUCGGGUUGUAAAGCACUUUCGGCGGGGAAGCGUUACCCGCAGAGGAAGCACCGGCUAACUCCGUGCCAGCAGCCGCGGUAAUUC